rnacentral:rRNA from 1 species
UACGUAGGGGGCUAGCGUUGUCCGGAAUCAUUGGGCGUAAAGAGCGUGUAGGCGGCUGGCUAAGUCCGCUCUGAAAGCCCGGGGCUCAACCCCGGGAGGCGGGUGGAUACUGGUCAGCUCGAGUCCGGAAGAGGAGUGUGGAAUUCCUGGUGUAGCGGUGAAAUGCGCAGAUAUCAGGAGGAACACCAAUGGCGAAGGCAGCACUCUGGGACGGUACUGACGCUGAGACGCGAAAGCGUGGGGAGCAAACAGG